rnacentral:rRNA from 1 species
UAUUGUUCUUCAACGAGGAAUCCCUAGUAAGCACAAGUCACCAGCUUGUGCUGAUUACGUCCCUGCCCUUUGUACACACCGCCCGUCGCUACUACCGAUUGAAUGGCUUAGUGAGGCCCUCGGAUCGACUUUCUGAGACUGGCAACAGUCUUUGAUUGUUGAGAAGUUGGUCAAACUUGGUCAUUUAGAGGAAGUAAAAGUCGUAACAAGGUUUCCGUAGGUGAACCUGCGGAAGGAUCAUUAUUAUUUGGAUAGGGUUUAGCACUAAUUCGUCCUCUGUUGUAUUUGGUGGUAAACCUCUUCCAAAUAUAUUGUUACUCUUUUUUUUUUAAAAAAAGGAGCAAGAUGAUAUAUAUUUAAAACCCAACUCUUAUAUAUAAAAUAUGUAUAUUUUUGAAUAAUAAAAUUAAAGAUCACUUUCAACAACGGAUCUCUUGGCUCUCGCAUCGAUGAAGAACGUAGCGAAGUGCGAUAAGUAAUGUGAAUUGCAGAAUUCCGUGAAUCAUCGAAUCUUUGAACGCAAAUUGCACUUUCUGGUAUUUCGGAAAGUAUGCCUGUUUGAGGGUCAGUUAAAUAAAAAUCGGUGUUAUUGCUUAUUUAAUGGUGAUGCAUCAGAAUUGAGUCGUCUUUACCUUUGGUUUUAAGUGACUUAAAAAUUUUGUACGAUUUUUGAACGUAUUUAAAUUUUUUACGUACGUUUAUAAUAUCAUAUAUUAGGCGUGGUCAUUUUUAUGACUUCGCGUCUAUAAUUUUUCAUUAUUUGACCUCAAAUCAGGUAAGAAUACCCGCUGAACUUAAGCAUAUCAAUAAGCGGAGGAAAAGAAAAUAACAAUGAUUCCCUUAGUAACGGCGAGUGAAGGGGGAUAAGCUCAAAUUUUAAAUCUGCUAGGUUUUACUUAUCAGAGUUGUAAUUUGAAGAAGCGUUUUCCGCGUCUCGGUUGACCCAAAUCCUUUGGGAUAUGGUAUCAUGGAGGGUGAGAAUCCCGUCCGGUUGACUUUGUGACGCUUUACGAUACGUUUUCAAAGAGUCGAGUUGUUUGGGAUUGCAGCUCAAAAUGGGAGGUAAAUUUCUCCUAAGGCUAAAUAUUGGCGAGAGACCGAUAGCGAACAAGUACCGUGAGGGAAAGAUGAAAAGAACUUUGAAAAGAGAGUUAAACAGUACGUGAAAUUGUUGAAAGGGAAACGCUUGAAACCAGUCAUGCUGGCGUGAAAUCAGCCGUGUCGGAGGUCGCGUGCUUGGUAUCGGGAGGGUAACCCCCGUGCUAUGUUCGGCGUCCGUCGUUACGGUGCACUUUCGCGCACGCAGGUCAGCGUCAGCUUCGAUCGCGGGAAAACAACCUCGGGAAGGUGAUCAUCGGUUCGCCGGUGGUGUUAUAGCCCUUGGUCCAUACCGCGUGUCGGGGCUGAGGAUCGCAGCGCACGCUUUCGGGCUUCGCGCCUGGAGACUGGUCGUCGCCGGACGGCAGACAGCUUGCUGACUGUCGACUGAACGUCGCCCAACUCUCUAGACCGACGAUAUGUGCGCUUAGGAUGCUGACGUAAUGGUUUUAAACGACCCGUCUUGAAACACGGACCAAGGAGUCUAACAUAUAUGCGAGUGUU